GAUGAACGCUGGCGGCGUGCCUAAUACAUGCAAGUCGAGCGAAUGGAUUAAGAGCUUGCUCUUAUGAAGUUAGCGGCGGACGGGUGAGUAACACGUGGGUAACCUGCCCAUAAGACUGGGAUAACUCCGGGAAACCGGGGCUAAUACCGGAUAACAUUUUGAACCGCAUGGUUCGAAAUUGAAAGGCGGCUUCGGCUGUCGCGUAUGGAUGGACCCGCGUCGCAUUAGCUAGUGGGUGAGGUAACGGCUCACCAAGGCAACGAUGCGUAGCCGGCCUGAGAGGGGGAUCGGCCACACUUGGACUGGGCCAGGGCCCAGACCCCUACGGGAGGCAGCAGUAGGGGAUCUUCCGCAAUGGACGAAAGUCUGACGGAGCAACGCCGCGUGAGUGAGGAAGGCUUUCGGGUCGUAAAACUCUGUUGUUAGGGAAGAACAAGUGCUAGUUGAAUAAGCUGGCACCUUGACGGUACCUAACCAGAAAGCCACGGCUAACUACGUGCCAGCCGCCGCGGUAA
rnacentral:rRNA from 1 species